rnacentral:misc_RNA from 1 species
UAGUUGCGUUAACUGGUGUGAAUUGCAGGACACGCCGAGCACUAAGUUUUCGAACGCAUAUUGCGGCUACGGGCCUUCCCGUAGCCUCGUCUGUCUGAGGGUCGGUUAAUAUCGACUUAUCGUAUGAGUUUGUUCGAGACACGGCCAAACGUUGCAAGUCUCGUCGAACUUUGACGACGCGGUGUUUUGCUGAGAGCUGCAGCGGCACCGGUCCGGCGCUACGUGUCGGACCGCACUACCGUUUAUCAUGCAACUGAUAGGCAAUAUUACCGUGUGAAGCCAAUGUGUUGAACGUUUCGAACGUUUCACACAAGCAAAAUCCAAUCUUGUCGACCUCAGAUCAGAUGAGAUUACCCGCUGAAUUUAA